rnacentral:rRNA from 1 species
GUGAGGAAUUUUCCGCAAUGGGCGAAAGCCUGACGGAGCAAUGCCGCGUGAAGGAUGAAGGCCUAUGGGUUGUAAACUUCUUUUCUCAGAAAAGAAUUAUGACGGUAUCUGAGGAAUAAGCAUCGGCUAACUCUGUGCCAGCAGCCGCGGUAAGACAGAGGAUGCAAGCGUUAUCCGGAAUGAUUGGGCGUAAAGCGUCUGUAGGUUGUUUAAAAAGUAUUCUGUCAAAGAUUAGGGCUUAACCCUAGAUAGGCAGAAUAAACUUUUAAGCUAGAGUUUGGUAGAGGCAGAGGGAAUUCCCGGUGGAGCGGUGAAAGGCGUAGAUAUCGGGAGGAACACCAAAGGCGAAGGCACUCUGCUGGGCCAAUACUAACACUGAGAGACGAAAGCGAGGGGAGCAAAUGGGAUUAGAUACCCUGGUAGUCC